UCCAGGUUAACCCUGGCAGUCUCCCUAGAGUGCCCAACUUAAUGCUGGCAACUAAGGAUAGGGGUUGCGCUCGUUGCGAGACUUAACCCAACAUUUCACAACACGAGCUGACGACAGCCAUGCAGCGCCUGUCACCGAAUUCCCCGAAGGGCACUCCUGCAUCUCUGCAAGAUUCUCGGGAUUUCAAACCCAGGUAAGGUUCUGCGCGUUGCUUCGAAUUAAACCACAUGAUCCACCGCUUGUGCGGGCCCCCGUCAAUUCCUUUGAGUUUUAGUCUUGCGACCGUACUUCCCAGGCGGAGUACUUAAUGCGUUAGCUACGUCACGGUAGGGGUUAAUACCUACCACAACUAGUACUCAUCGUUUACGGCGUGGACUAC
rnacentral:misc_RNA from 1 species